UCCUUGUCGGGUAAGUUCCGACCUGCACGAAUGGCGUAACGACUUCAGCACUGUCUCAACGAGGGGCUCAGCGAAAUUGAAGCGGCGGUGAAGAUACCGUCUACCCGCAACUAGACGGAAAGACCCCGGCACCUUUACUAUAGCUUGACAUUGGAUUUUGGGAUAGCUUGUGUAGGAUAGGUGGGAGACUGAGAAGUUCCGACGCUAGUCGGGAUGGAGUCAUCCUUGAAAUACCACCCUGGUUAUUCGGAAAUUCUAACUCAGAUCCGUUAUCCGGGUCGAGGACAGUGUCUGGUGGGUAGUUUGACUGGGGCGGUCGCCUCCUAAAGAGUAACGGAGGCGCACGAAGGUUCCCUCAGGCUGAUUGGAAACCAGCCGUAGAGUGUAAAGGCAUAAGGGAGCUUAACUGCGAGACCUACAAGUCAAGCAGAUGCGAAAGCAGGUCUUAGUGAUCCGGCGGUCCCGAAUGGAAGGGCCGUCGCUCAACGGAUAAAAGGUACGCCGGGGAUAACAGGCUUAUCUCCCCCAAGAGUCCACAUCGACGGGGAGGUUUGGCACCUCGAUGUCGGCUCAUCGCAUCCUGGGGCUGAAGCAGGUCCCAAGGGUUUGGCUGUUCGCCAAUUAAAGCGGUACGUGAGCUGGGUUUAGAACGUCGUGAGACAGUUCGGUCCCUAUCUGUUGUGGGCGCAGGAUACUUGAGGGGAUCUGUUCCUAGUACGAGAGGACCGGAAUGGACAAACCUCUAGUUUACCAGUUGUCACGCCAGUGGCAUAGCUGGGUAGCUAUGUUCGGAAGGGAUAACCGCUGAAGGCAUCUAAGCGGGAAACCCACCCCAAGAUUAGGUAUCCCCUCCACCCAAGGGUGGACUAAAGACCCCUUGUAGACCACAAGGUUGAUAGGUUGGAUGUGUAAGUUCGGUAACGAACUCAGCUAACCAAUACUAAUAGGUCGUGAGGCUUGACCAUAACCUUA
rnacentral:rRNA from 1 species